rnacentral:lncRNA from 1 species
AAUCAUCAAGUGUUUCAUGCUAUAAGAGUAAUGUUCUUAUUUUUUUCAGUCACACUGACCUGCAAGUUAUUGUGCUAUAUGUGUCUAGCCUUCUUUUGGUACAUCCCGUGGAAUGUCAUGAUUUCCUCCACAAAAGCAUCCAGACAAAUCAGCUGAAGGGAGCAGGAGGAUUAUGUGGGAGGAGUAUCCAGGUAAUAUAUAUGUUCCUGCUAAUCGUGUCACAAUUUCUAUGGGUAAUAGUUUUGUAGAACAUUUUCCCAGCAUUUUAUGAGGUUAAUUCGGAUCAGGUGACCAAGAAUUAGCAGAAAGAAUAUGAUAUACUCAAGCCACAGAGAACAG